GCGUAUAAAACUCGAGGAUUAUAGAAUUUUAAAUUCUACGAGUGAAAUUUCAGGAUAAUAUUUUGAAGUUCUAUUUACAUGUGAAUUUUGAAUCUCAUGAUGAUGAUUAUUUUUCAAUUAUAGAGGUAGAAUUUGACUUGUGAGCGCUGUUUUUACUUUUUUUUUCUUUGUUUAUAUGUCCAAAAUAAAAAUGACAUUUUUAUAUACUAGUAUAUAAUUAUUAGAGUUUCACGUGUAAAAUUUACCAUCCUCUAAUGAUGGCUAUUUUUUAAAGACAUGAUUGAAAAAUGGCUAAUAAAUGUUAUUUUAGCAUUUUUCAUCUUACCCCUUGUAGUAUAUCAAAGUUUCUCAUUUUCUUGUUUAUGUUCUUAGUAUUUCUUUUCUUUUCUCUUUUUAAUUAUCAUUUGAUGUCCAUACAUGUAUCGGAGAUCGAUUAUACCCAAACACACAUUUUAGGGUUUAUUUCUGGAAGUGAUAGUGAUGCUUUCGGUAGGAAUUUUUUCAUUCUCAAAUAUUAAACUCGAGAUAUCUGAUGAAGAACUUAUUUUCUUAGUCAAACAAUAUUAUAUAAAAUUAAAUGAGAGUCGUGAAAAAAAAUAUCAUUUUAGAAAAUAAUAUUCAAUAUAUCUAGCAUUCC
rnacentral:lncRNA from 1 species